AUUUGAGUCAAGCAGCAGCUGAAGUUCCAUAAUCUCCGCCUUCCAGGCAACAAGCAACAAUAGCUACAAAGGGAUUUUCAUGAAAGGCUGAGAAUGCUCUGAUUUCAUUUGCUCUGUGGGCAGCUGGAGCUGCUGAAAGAUUUUGCUUUUGCUUUCCUUGCUUCUGGCAGUUCCUUCAUUUGCUCUCCCCCACCCGCAACAGGACAGGAGACAGGCAAAUGGCAGCCUUUCUUGUCCCUUUGGAUCAUGCUGGGGUGAUAAUUUCCUCACCCAGCUCAUUCCUCAUUCAUCUUGUGCAAAAGCAUUCUUCACUUCAGCAAGAAUUCUGCAACUGAUAACCAUCAAUAGGUUUUUCUGAAGCCUUUUCAAAUAAGCAUGGCAGAGGGAGGAACUUCAAGGCACUGGGAGGCAAAGAGGCGUGAUGUCAAGAGGGCAGAGGCCAGGCUCAGCCUGGGGCUGCGCAGUUUAGAAGAAGCCCGGCUCUACUAUCUGAAUACCAUGACCAGGGAACAGCAGCGACUCCAGCAGGAACUCCUAAGGUUACAGAAAAGCUGCUCCAAGCAGAAAUUCUUAUCAGGCCCUGGACAUAUUCACUUUAAAACAACAUUUCCUCUACCUCCUUCUCUGGAUGUGCAGAAUUCUGGUGGCUUCCAUUAUACAGGAUUACGGUAAAAAUUUGUCUCAUUUGAGGUUGUCCAGUUGAGUCAGAGUCUUGGCUGUCUAACACCUGCAAUUUCCACCUUCUUAUUAAUUGGCUGCAAUGGGCCUUGUAACUUUAAAUUGAAAGGCAAAAAUGAGGUUCCGCAGUGAUGGUACGCUCUCAGUGUAACAGUAAGAAACUAAGACUCAAG
rnacentral:lncRNA from 1 species